CCCUGUGGAGUAGUUUCAACUUCUACUUCAUCAGCAAUAACUUCUGGAAUUUCACGCAACAGCCGAUAUUGUUCAUCUGGAGUCUGCAGCAGCUGCCUUCUAUCCAGGUAUUCAAAGAGUUCUUUGCGCCACCCCUUUUCAUUGGCUCGAUCAAUUAGCUUUUGUAGUAAAGCAAGUUCUCCCACAAGCCAAUGAUUUGUUACAUCUUGAUGCAAGACACGAACCUUCUCUUCCAACUCGACAAGAGUUGGCCUCUUUAGCAAACCAUCUUUUAUUCUCUGACGCAAAUCCUCACAUUCUGCCUCAGAGAAGUUAUCAUCGGAAAGCAUGGA
rnacentral:misc_RNA from 1 species